rnacentral:rRNA from 1 species
AUCUAUGGCCAUACCACCCUGAACGCGCCCGAUCUCGUCUGAUCUCGGAAGCUAAGCAGGGUCGGGCCUGGUUAGUACUUGGAUGGGAGACAUCUAUA